GGUUGUAGCUCAGUUGGUUAGAGCGCCAGAUUGUGGCUCUGGAGGCCUAGGGUUCGACUCCCUA
rnacentral:tRNA from 1 species